UUAAUUACUUUGGCCAAGGCCCAGGAUCGAUGCAUGUUUGAACGACGAAACACAUGAUCGUAUCGGCGGUUUGAACUCUAGACUCGGUUGAAGACGGACUCUGCGUGGACGACCUGGCGGCGCCGGUCGUCUCUCGCCGUUAGCAAAAUUGGACGUGGAAAUGCAAGAUCAUCGAUGUCAUCUUCGCUCCGGCCGGUCAUCGUCGUUGAACAAUCAACUGAUUCAAGUAAAGCACAGGUGCACCCGCAAAAAAAGUAAAGCACAGGUGGACCGACCGUGCAGGGCGACAGUGACGUGAAACGUAGGUGCGUCGACCAAUCACCAGCUAGCUGCUAGGUCCUCCUCGUUGAAGGAAAUGCUGUCAACAUCGAUUCCAAAAGGGAGUGGCGCGCAGGUUUCCCGGAAAGGAAGGACCUCGCAAUCCCAGUUUAAUGCCCCGUCUGUGAAAACAUGCAGGACCAACGCGUUAGUCUCGACAGGAUCGACCUCACGUGUAGCCGAGGAGAACCCAAAAUACACGCGCGCGCGGGGGGUCGGAUUCCAUCACUAAGGGCAUCUCCAACAGUUUGUUGGUUAGCUUGUUGGUAAAAUAUGCCAUGUCAUCAGCCAACAUCUUAACAUACAACUACUUCAAUGGAUUGUAUCUAGUUUGUCCAAUAAGAUGUGAGAUAAUAAAUAAGGUGCUCUCUCAUUCUACAUUGGAGCUUGUGCAAGGGUGUUGGUUAAUUUACAUACAAUCUUGUUCUCUUUCCUCAUUUAUUGCAAUGACACAUCAUCAAAAAUCAUAUGUGUCAAAAUUACCAACAACUAUCUUACAACCAUUGGAGAUGCCCUAACAACGCCGCCAAUGCAUGCAUGGAACCCUUUCUUGUCGACCCCGAUAACCAUCACACAUGUGAUGAGAGCAAUACUCGAUCAUACCCUCCAUCGUUACAGAUUGGACCAUCUCUUAAAUAAAUAAAUAAAUUGAUUGAAAAAACGUUUUCACCACUGAAUUCAUAGCGAUGAGUCUUCGAAACUAGAUCGCAUAUCGAUAUUUUUCGAUGAUUUUUCUGAGGGUUAAAAGUAGUCAUGUCUAUUCACAUAAAUUGCUAUCAUGAUUACAUUAAAGUUGUCAUGCAUGAUAUAUUUCAACUAUUUUUUCUUCAAUGUUUAAAGUAAAUUUUGACAUGUUAUAAAAAAUAAUUUGGAAAAUAAACUUGUCAUGAUGAAUUACUAAAAUUUGACAUGAUCCAUGAAAUCAUUUUGACAUGGUUCAUAACUAAAAAAGAAAUAUGUCAUCAAUUAUUUUAAAAAUGCAUGCUCAAUGGCUUAAAUUUGCCACGAAUCAUAAAAUAAAAUUGACAUGGCAAUUACUGAAAUUUCCAAUGGUACAUGCACUUAAAUUUGCCAUGGGUCAUACGAAAAAUAUUUUUCAUAUUCAAAAUACUAGAAUUGUCAUGGUCAAAAUAUUUAAAUUGCCAUGAUCUAUAAACCCAAUUUGUCAUGAUGAAUUACUACAAAAAUAUCAUGAUCCAUGAAUUAAAUUUACCGUGGUUAAUAACUAAAAUUCGCCAUGUCAAUUAAUAAAAAAUGCCGUGAAAAUUAGUUGAAAUACAAUGAUCGUUUCAAAUCUAGAAGAAAAAACUAGAUAAAACAUGUCGUGGCAACUUAAUUAUAAACAUUAUGGCUACUUUAGUGUAAACAUCAUGGCAACUUUUGGCCUAAAAAAAGUCGUCAAAACAUAUCAAUCUGGGAUAUAGUUUUGAAGUUCUCAUUGAGAUGGAUUUAAUAAUAAAAACGGAUUUUUAAUUAAUUUUUUUAUUUAAGAGAUAAUAUAUUUUAAAGUCUAAAUAACAAAAAACAUUUCAUUGAUAUCAUAUGUGUGAUGUUGUAAGAGCAUCUUUAACAGACCUAUAUAAUGCUCCGACCCAUAAAAUAAUCGUUAAAAUACGGAUCCAUAAAACAUUGAUGCAUCGACCAAUUACCAGCUAGGCAGCUUAGGACCUCCUCGUUGAAGGAAAUGUUCGUCA
rnacentral:lncRNA from 1 species